rnacentral:rRNA from 1 species
ACGAGACCUUAGCCUGCUAAAUAGGAUCGGGAACCUUGGUUCUCGCAUCACUUCUUAGAGGGACUUUGCGUGUCUAACGCAAGGAAGUUUGAGGCAAUAACAGGUCUGUGAUGCCCUUAGAUGUUCUGGGCUGCACGCGCGCUACACUGAUGCAUGCAACGAGUUUUUGACCUUGGCCGGAAGGUCUAGGUAAUCUUUUGAGUAUGCAUCGUGAUGGGGAUAGAUUAUUGCAAUUAUUAAUCUUCAACGAGGAAUGCCUAGUAGGCGCAAGUCAGCAGCUUGUGCCGAUUACGUCCCUGCCCUUUGUACACACCGCCCGUCGCUGCAACCGAUCGGAGGGUCCUGUGAACUCGAUGGACAGCCUAUCCCCUUCUUGGGGUUGGGCUGGAAGUUGCGUAAAUAGCGCCCUCUAAAGGAUGCAAAAGUCGUAACACGGUUUCCGUAGGCGAACCUGCGGAAGGAUCAUUC